UACGUAGGUGGCAAGCGUUGUCCGGAAUUAUUGGGCGUAAAGAGCGCGCAGGCGGUCGUGCAAGUCGCGUGUGAAAGCCCCCGGCUCAACUGGGGAGGGUCACGCGAUACUGCUCGACUCGAAGGCAGGAGAGGGAAGUGGAAUUCCCGGUGUAGUGGUGAAAUGCGUAGAUAUCGGGAGGAACACCAGUGGCGAAGGCGACUUCCUGGCCUGUUCUUGACGCUGAGGCGCGAAAGCUAGGGUAGCAAACGGG
rnacentral:rRNA from 1 species